GGCGGUGUAGCUCAGUCGGCAGAGCGGGCGGCUCAUAUCCGCCGAGUCGGGGGUUCAAGUCCCUCCACCGCCA
rnacentral:tRNA from 1 species